UGUCCAACUUGGCUGCUUGGGCGCCUUCAAAGCCUGCAGGAGAUGUUCUGCUUUUUAAAAUCUAUUUUACUUUGUAAUAUGCUCCCUUUCAAGCGAGCCAGGCGUUUAAGCAUGCAUUCAAUCAGUUCUGAAAUUUCAGCAGGAUCUCCUGAUCUUUCCGACUUAAAUCAACCUGUGCAACCAAGCGAUUCCCAACCUUAAAAACCAACUUUGAAGAAGGCUUUGGAAAAAGGGCAGAGAAGAGCAAAUAGGCCUGGAGACUAAAAGAUAAGAAGAACGGUUGCAGGACUUGGGGAAUCCUCGGGGCAAAACAAGGAAGAAAACUUGGCCUGAGAAAGAGAAGAGCUUGUUGUCUAUCAUCCCUUCGCCACCGGCGGCUUUGGCUGUACCAAAACAACGGCAAUUGGGGAUGCUAGCCUGGCCCAGCAAGACCUGGAUUCCAGUCCAACUCCAGUUCUGCAAACUCACCAACUUUGAACUACUCUUUUGAGGACCAAAGAGAGGCGGGAGCACCAGGUACUCCAUCUUUUAAGUUUAGAAUGAAAGGAGGAAGGGCUUAAAUGUUAUUUUCAGCCCCCAGUGACAAGAAGAGCAGGAUUUCCACUCUGACCUCCCUUUCCCAUCAACCCUCUCCUCGCAGGGAGGAAUCCCAGGGUUGAAAGGACCUCAAAGGUCUUCUAGCCCACCCCUUGCUCAGACAGGGACGCACUGGACCAUCCCAGCCAAAGAGCUUCCAGCCUUUGCUCACACUUCCCCCCAAUCUCUUUGGGGUGGGGGGCAGUGCAGAAGACCUACAGAUUGACCCCAGAGGCUGGAUUCAUACAACAUGCCAUGCCCAGAAGGCGCUUGAGGAGUGGGGGGGAAGGGGGCUCAGUUGCCCUGGGUGAAUGCAACAGCCAGAGCCAGGACAGAUACUGGGGGCCACUCCUCCUUCUUGGGGGGGAGGCUUUCUAGCAAAACGGGGAGCGUCCUCCCCCCCACGGGCUUGCCCAGCCUCUGCUCUUCGCAGGAGAGUUUGAGAAAGCCAAGAGGGGCCGGGACGUCUCGCCGGGCUGGCUCCCCCCUGGCCCGGCCCUGCUCCGCUCCCGAGGCAGUCGGGGGUCCUAGUGGGCCGGGACAAAGCGGGGAGGGGGAUCUUCGGGGCCUCCCCCCUUGCUCGCCCCCCCAUCCCCGCCGGAGAGCCCCACCACCCCAGCCCUUCCCUUCCCUCCUCUGGUGCGCCCCGAGGCUGCCUCUUCGCGCAGGGAUCGGGCCCGGAGUGGAGGAGGAGGAGGAAGAGGAAGGAGGAAGAGGAGGAGGAAAAGGAGGAAGGAGAAAGAGGAAGAGAAGGAGGAAAAGAAGGAGGAAGAGGAGG